GAGAAGGAAGGGAGCCAGCGGCAUGGGUUAUGCACACAGAGCUCUCUGGGCCAAACCUGGGAUAUAGUACACAUUGAGUAAGUCUUCAGAGCAAUGGGGAGCCAGAGGGAAAAAUAAAAUAAAAUCCCAGUAUAAUUAACAUACAACAUUGUGUUCGUUUCAGGUGUACAAUGUAGUGAGUCACCAAUCCCCACAUUACUCAGUGCUCAUCAUGCUGCAGAAAUCAUUUUCGGUUGCUCUCUGACUCGAGUAAACAACACUCCCUGUCACCUUAUCCCUUGGUCGGUCGGUUCCACCUCUGUAUUUUCACUGGGACAUGAUUCUCACUGACAGUAGAAAGCUCAGCACCCAGACCUGCGGCUGUGAAAAUACUUGCUCCUCUCCAGAACUAUCAGUACUUGUGGGAAACACGUCACGGUGCCAGCCACUCAUUGGUCCUGAAGCGACCCUGUUAUUUUGGGAUGUAGUAAAGGAAAUGAGAUUUUGAAACCCCAAGUGGCACUCUCUCUGGCUAUUGAAAGGUAUUGUGCGUCCCAGACCAGCAGCAUUAGCACCUGGGAACUUUUUAGAAGUGAAAAUGCUGGGACCCCGCCCUGGACCUUCUCAGAAAGAAACUUCGGCAUGGCGCCCAGCAAUCCAGUUUUAACAAGGAGGUCAUCUCAAAUGUGAGAGCCAUUGCUGCUAUGGUAUGGAAAGCUCCAUUCUGAGCAUGUCACCUCUUUGUUCCCUUUACUGGUG